UAUAAAAUAGUGCGAAAGAUGGUCAUCUAAAUCAAGUAAGGACUUAUAGUUGAUUGAAAUUUUGAAAGGCACACUACAAUUAAAUCCAGAAACAGAAAACCUAUCACAAAAGGAAAGUAACAAUACGUACUGUUGAUCCAAAUAGCUCAAGAAGAGAUGAGGUCCACUACAUGAAGGAACUGCAUCAUAACGGAAGUCAAGAAAUACAUCCCUGAAGC
rnacentral:lncRNA from 1 species